GAAGAAGAAGAGGAGAAAGAAGAAGAAUGUAGACGUGUCCUGAGUGAAGUGACAGUAGCAGAUAUGGCUACAGAGCCCGGCAUCAAUAUGGAGGCGAAAAUAGACGCGAGAGAAAAUCCUUUUGAACCUUAUUUAGACGCUUUAAAGAAGGUGUUAGAAGACCAAGACCCCAUAUUUAUGAUCGGAAUUGUUGUUUCUUUGGCUGUUGUUGUCAUCACUGUUGUGUUAUUGAAGUACAUACUAAGCAGAAAAACUGUCCAAAGUGCUGUGCUGCUGGUUGGUCUCUGCGAUUCUGGAAAGACCCUCCUCUUUAGUCGAUUGUUGUCAGGAAAGUUCAAGAAAACCCAGACCUCCAUCACGGACAGCAGUGCCCCUUACAAAGCCAAAAACGAG